GUGGGUGGAAAACAGACACGUCUAAUGGAAUAUGAUCAUGCGGUAUCCAAUCUUUUCUCAUUCUUGCUGGGGAUCCAUUUCUUGGGUGACAGGCCUUGCCACUUUCAGAAGAGACGUAACUUUGGGCUGGAGCCUCUUUAAGUAGCAACUUCAACACUAACCACUUGGCCAUUGUCUUAUGAGGAAUUGAGGCAGAGAGAGAUGAAGUGACUUGCCCAAGAACGCACAGCAACUCCGUGUCAGAGGAGGAAAUUGAACAGAACUCCUGAGUCCCAGUUCAUUGCCUUAACAAGAAGAUCAUUCAUCCUCUCUGAUUCUACUACCCUCUGAUCCAUCAAAUCCUCCUUCAUGCAGCACCUCUCUCCUAUUAGAAACUCCUUGCC